rnacentral:misc_RNA from 1 species
CUCGCGCCACGGAAGCCUUUGCAGCUGGAAACAGUUGGUCUGGACGACUCUAAACAAAUCGGCCUUAAUGCAAGUCAGCGUCUCUGCUGGCGACACUUUCGAACUGACGGGGACACCCUAAAGCUCUCCACACCAAGCCAGCCAGGGAAACCUACUGGUGGCCCAUGGGAAACUAUGGGGUAUGGUAAUAGAGGGAGAGAUGAUCCGAGGCUCACGCCUUGGUGAAGUGGGCAAUCCGCAGCGAAGCUCCUAACGUCCUCGGGCCUGCCCCGAACCAUGGAGAACGUUCACAGACUAAGUGGAAGUGGGUGGAGAGCAAUCUCCGCUUAAGAUAUAGUCGGGCCCCUUGGGAAACCUUGGGGGUAGCGAGUCUCGAGUCUCUCGAGCUUGGAACAAACCGUUCCGUAGGUGAACCUGCGGAAGGAUCAUUACCGUUGGAGUUCGCUCCAAUCUGGGAUAGAACCCUUGCCUUUGAGUACCUUCUCGUUUCCUCGGUGGGCUCGCCCGCCGGUGGACAACCAUAAACUCUUUGUAAUAGCAGUAUCUUCUGAGAAAAACAAAUAGUCAAAACUUUCAACAACGGAUCUCUUGGUUCUGGCAUCGAUGAAGAACGCAGC